CGCUAGCUACAGGCUUAACACAUGCAAGUCGAGGGGCAGCAUGGUCUUAGCUUGCUAAGGCCGAUGGCGACCGGCGCACGGGUGAGUAACACGUAUCCAACCUGCCGUCUACUCUUGGACAGCCUUCUGAAAGGAAGAUUAAUACAAGAUGGCAUCAUGAGUCCACAUGUUCACAUGAUUAAAGGUAUUCCGGUAGACGAUGGGGAUGCGUUCCAUUAGAUAGUAGGCGGGGUAACGGCCCACCUAGUCUUCGAUGGAUAGGGGUUCUGAGAGGAAGGUCCCCCACAUUGGAACUGAGACACGGUCCAAACUCCUACGGGAGGCAGCAGUGAGGAAUAUUGGUCAAUGGGCGAGAGCCUGAACCAGCCAAGUAGCGUGAAGGAUGACUGCCCUAUGGGUUGUAAACUUCUUUUAUAAAGGAAUAAAGUCGGGUAUGCAUACCCGUUUGCAUGUACUUUAUGAAUAAGGAUCGGCUAACUCCGUGCCAGCAGCCGCGGUAAUACGGAGGAUCCGAGCGUUAUCCGGAUUUAUUGGGUUUAAAGGGAGCGUAGAUGGAUGUUUAAGUCAGUUGUGAAAGUUUGCGGCUCAACCGUAAAAUUGCAGUUGAUACUGGAUAUCUUGAGUGCAGUUGAGGCAGGCGGAAUUCGUGGUGUAGCGGUGAAAUGCUUAGGAUAUCACGAAGAACUCCGAUUGCGAAGGCAGCCUGCUAAGCUGCAACUGACAUUGAGGCUCGAAAGUGUGGGUAUCAAACAGGAUUAGAUACCCUGGUAGUCCACACGGUAAACGAUGAAUACUCGCUGUUUGCGAUAUACUGCAAGCGGCCAAGCGAAAGCGUUAAGUAUUCCACCUGGGGAGUACGCCGGCAACGGUGAAACUCAAAGGAAUUGACGGGGGCCCGCACAAGCGGAGGAACAUGUGGUUUAAUUCGAUGAUACGCGAGGAACCUUACCCGGGCUUAAAUUGCAGAUGAAUUACGGUGAAAGCCGUAAGCCGCAAGGCAUCUGUGAAGGUGCUGCAUGGUUGUCGUCAGCUCGUGCCGUGAGGUGUCGGCUUAAGUGCCAUAACGAGCGCAACCCUUGUUGUCAGUUACUAACAGGUUCUGCUGAGGACUCUGACAAGACUGCCAUCGUAAGAUGUGAGGAAGGUGGGGAUGACGUCAAAUCAGCACGGCCCUUACGUCCGGGGCUACACACGUGUUACAAUGGGGGGUACAGAGGGCCGCUACCACGCGAGUGGAUGCCAAUCCCAAAAACCUCUCUCAGUUCGGACUGGAGUCUGCAACCCGACUCCACGAAGCUGGAUUCGCUAGUAAUCGCGCAUCAGCCACGGCGCGGUGAAUACGUUCCCGGGCCUUGUACACACCGCCCGUCAAGCCAUGGGAGCCGGGGGUACCUGAAGUGCGUAACCGCGAGGAGCGCCCUAGGGUAAAACUGGUGACUGGGGC
rnacentral:rRNA from 1 species